rnacentral:lncRNA from 1 species
GUUUGUUUAGACCAUUAUUUGCCCGUUUCAGCAAUCAUUUGCCACAAUGUUGCGAUGGCAGAGCACAAUGAGCAGAAUAUAAUGCAUGCCAAAUAGUUUUCGCUUUGAGUGAAACUGCAACUGAAGAUGUCGUACAUUGUUAAGCCUAUAAGGACGACACUGAAUAAAGCUCAGGAAGUCAAAUAGUCUUCUCAGAUAAAGAAUUUUGAGAUCAAUAAAAAGAAGCUACAUGGGCAAGUUGUUUCACCCUGAGAGGAGGCUGUUUUUUCAAACAUUUGAGGGUUGUAUGCAGUUAUUUGUGGGGGUUAUAUACACGCAAUUUUUAAUGCGAAAGCAGUAUGUCCAGUACACGAAAAUCUGCCAGCGGCAGCGGUGACACCGAGCAGUCGUGCCAAAUAUUGCCGAUGGUGCAGAGUAAAAACACGUCAAAAAUUCUCGGAUUGACUUCAAAUUUCUCAGGGAGGUUGCUGUAAACAAAGUAAAUCGAGGCCUAUGAAAAGAAAAUUUUGUAAAUUUCGGUCUUGGUGGGAAAUGAUCCUGGGCCUCCGAGGAAUGGGAAGAGCAUGCUUCCCCGAUGCCACAGUGGCUCCAGGGUUCUGGUUGGCUAAAGGUGUGCCUUGUGCAUGUGUCAUUGCAUAUAUCAAGUCUUACUAAAGGUGUGGCCUAAUGUGUGCUUCAGUGGGCAUGAGACGGUGCAGCCAAUGGGAAAGAGGUGGACUAUAACACUUUCGCAUUCUGACAACAUCCAGGCCUUCUAUUUCUUCAUCAACAGCCAAUGGUCACAAUUCACCACAGGGACUCCUCCGCCAAGAUAAUCUCUGUUACAAUGAAGCUGAUAAACUGUUUUGUCUGGAA